rnacentral:rRNA from 1 species
GGGUCAGUAGGUUGGUCGUGCCACCGGUACGUACUGGUCUCACUGAUUCCUCCUUCCUGAAGAACCGUAAUGCCAUUAAUUUGGUGUUGCGGGGAAACAGGACUGCUACUUUGAAAAAUUAGAGUGUUUAAAGCAAGCUAACGCUUGAAUACAUUAGCAUGGAAUAAUGAAAUAGGACGAUCGAUCCUAUUUUGUUGGUUUCUAGGAUUGACGUA